GACGAACGCUGGCGGCGUGCCUAACACAUGCAAGUCAACUUGACUGAAGGAGCAAUCUGACAGUAGAGUGGCGCAAGGGUGCGUAACGCGUAAGUAACUUGCCCAAGGUAAGGAAUAACGUCGAGAAAUCGGCGCUAAUACCUCAUAAUGCAGCGGAUCCGCAUGGAUAUGUUGUUAAAGGUUUACCGCCUUGGGAUAGGCUUGCGUCUGAUUAGCUAGUUGGUGUGGUAACGGCACACCAAGGCUACGAUCAGUAACUGGUCUGAGAGGAUGAUCAGUCACACUGGAACUGAGACACGGUCCAGACUCCUACGGGAGGCAGCAGUGAGGAAUAUUGGGCAAUGCUCGAAAGAGUGACCCAGCAACGCCGCGUGGAGAUGAAGGUAUUCUAAUAUCGUAAACUCCUGUGAGA
rnacentral:rRNA from 1 species